AGUGAACGCUGGCGGUAGGCCUAACACAUGCCAGUCGAACGGCAGCACAGUAAGAGCUUGCUCUUACGGGUGGCGAGUGGCGGACGGGUGAGGAAUACAUCGGAAUCUACUUUUUCGUGGGGAUAACGUAGGGAAACUUACGCUAAUACCGCAUACGACCUACGGGUUAAAGCAGGGGAUCUUCGGACCUUGCCCGAUUGAAUGAGCCGAUGUCGGAUUAGCUAGUUGGCGGGGUAAAGGCCCACCAAGGCGACGAUCCGUAGCUGGUCUGAGAGGAUGAUCAGCCACACUGGAACUGAGACACGGUCCAGACUCCUACGGGAGGCAGCAGUGGGGAAUAUUGGACAAUGGGCGCAAGCCUGAUCCAGCCAUACCGCGUGGGUGAAGAAGGCCUUCGGGUUGUAAAGCCCUUUUGUUGGGAAAGAAAAGCAGCAGGUUAAUACCCCGCUGUUCUGACGGUACCCAAAGAAUAAGCACCGGCUAACUUCGUG
rnacentral:rRNA from 1 species